GAUGAACGCUAGCUACAGGCUUAACACAUGCAAGUCGAGGGACCGGCGCACGGGUGAGUAAUGUCUGGGAAACUGCCUGAUGGAGGGGGAUAACUACUGGAAACGGUAGCUAAUACCGCAUACCAUCAGAUGUGCCCAGAUGGGAUUAGCUAGUAGGUGGGGUAACGGCUCACCUAGGCGACGAUCCCUAGCUGGUCUGAGAGGAUGACCAGCCACACUGGAACUGAGACACGGUCCAGACUCCUACGGGAGGCAGCAGUGGGGAAUAUUGCACAAUGGGCGCAAGCCUGAUGCAGCCAUGCCGCGUGUGUGAAGAAGGCCUUCGGGUUGUAAAGCACUUUCAGCGGGGAGGCGUUACCCGCAGAAGAAGCACCGGCUAACUCCGUGCCAGCAGCCGCGGUAAUUC
rnacentral:rRNA from 1 species